rnacentral:rRNA from 1 species
GACGAACGCUGGCGGCGUGCUUAACACAUGCAAGUCGAACGGAAAGGCCCUUCGGGGUCCUCGAGUGGCGAACGGGUGAGUAACACGUGGGUGAUCUGCCCUGCACUUUGGGAUAAGCCUGGGAAACUGGGUCUAAUACCGAAUAGGACCACGCGCUUCAUGGUGUGUGGUGGAAAGCUUUUGCGGUGUGGGAUGGGCCCGCGGCCUAUCAGCUUGUUGGUGGGGUAAUGGCCUACCAAGGCGACGAUGGGUAGCCGGCCUGAGAGGGUGACCGGCCACACUGGGACUGAGAUACGGCCCAGACUCCUACGGGAGGCAGCAGUGGGGAAUAUUGCACAAUGGGCGCAAGCCUGAUGCAGCGACGCCGCGUGAGGGAUGACGGCCUUCGGGUUGUAAACCUCUUUCAAUAGGGACGAAGCGCAAGUGACGGUACCUAUAGAAGAAGCACCGGCCAACUACGUG